GACGAACGCUGGCGGCGUGCCUAAUACAUGCAAGUCGAGCGACGUUUUUCUGGUGCUUGCACUAGAAAAACUUAGCGGCGAACGGGUGAGUAACACGUAAAGAACCUGACUCAUUGACUGGGACAACUAUUGGAAACGAUACCUAAUACCGGAUAACAGUAUUUCUCGCAUGAGAGAUAUUUAAAAGUUGGUUAUCCUAACACUAUGAGAUGGCUUUGCGGUGCAUUAGCUAGUUGGUGGGGUAAAGGCCCACCAAGUCGACGAUGCAUAGCCGACCUGAAAGGGUGAUCGGCCACACUGGGACUGAGACACGGCCCAGACUCCUACGGGAGGCAGCAGUAGGGAAUCUUCCGCAAUGGGCGAAAGCCUGACGGAGCAACGCCGCGUGAGUGAAGAAGGAUUUCGGUUCGUAAAGCUCUGUUGUUAGGGAAGAAUGGAUAUGUAGUAACUAUACAUGUAAGAGACGGUACCUAACCAGAAAGCCACGGCUAACUACGUG
rnacentral:rRNA from 1 species